GGCCUUCUGCAGCCGGUCGAAGAGCGAGUCCAAACCAGUCUGGAAUCUGCGGGGGGCAGAAGCCGAUAGAUCAACCAGCGGGGCAGAACAGAACUACAGCCUCGUCCAGAGUGAGGACGGGCUCUGCACCCACCUGACCCCGCCAUCCCGGAGCUUUCUGCAGCGUUGGGCUUCUCGCUCUGCUGUCCUGCAGGCACGCCUCCACCGCAGCUCCAGGGUGCCUCCUGCUGGCCGGACCGACGCUGCAGAAAGAGGAUCCGCCUGCAGGAGGGUCUCCAGAUCCAGAAGCAGACCCAGCACGGCUCUGCUGUCCUGCAGCCGCUGGAGAGUCUGCUGUGUAGAGGGAACAUUAGAGGAGGGGUCACUGCAGGCUUCAACUCCUAACAGGGUCCAUUAUGGAGGUGAAAACACCAGGACUUCAGCACAUCAUGACAUUUAGAUGAUGGGACCACUCCAUGUCUCCAUAAGAUCCCAGAUUUUCCAGACAUCUAUUUUAUUGUAUUUGCAAAAUAAAAGUAUGUUUAAUGGUG